GUCGUUGCAGGGACUAGGGUGGCAUUUGUAGCCUCCAUUCUCGGGCUGUGGUGGCUGGGGACAAUAUGCAGGUCCUUUGGAUUUGCUGAGCCAACCUGUGGCCUGUGCUUCCAAAAUAAAGUUACCAAAGAUAACUAGCAGAAGAAACAACCCAUGGCUAGUCAAGGCAAGAGAUGAUCCUGUGUUGCUCUUUGGUGCUACCAUUCCAUGGCACAUCUUUUACCCACCAAGGUUUCUUCUAAAAAAAAAAAAUUCCAAAAAGUUCUGGUUGAUCAGGAGCACCUCAAUCUGGUGUUGGCAGAAGCUGGCAUACAGCAGUCGUCGUUAGCACAAUAGAAGUGAUGAUUCAGUGGUGGUAGGUUGAUUUGCACACCGGCCGUCUCAGGGGCGGAGGGGCGGCGGGGCGCGGGCACGGUGCCGCAGCGCGGGGCUGAAGGUCGGCGGCCUCGCGCCCCGGCCGGCGCCGCCGUCUUGCCCGCCCCCAACGGCCCGCGCGCCUCGCUC
rnacentral:lncRNA from 1 species